rnacentral:rRNA from 1 species
UGGGGAAUAUUGGACAAUGGAGGGAACUCUGAUCCAGCAAUUCUGUGUGUGUGAAGAAGGUUUUAGGACUGUAAAACACUUUUAGUAGGGAAGAAAAAAAUGACGGUACCUACAGAAGAAGCAACGGCUAAAUACGUGCCAGCAGCCGCGGUAAUACGUAUGUUGCGAGCGUUAUCCGGAAUUAUUGGGCUUAAAGGGCAUCUAGGCGGUAAGACAAGUUGAAGGUGAAAACCUGUGGCUCAACCAUAGGCUUGCCUACAAAACUGUAUAACUAGAGUACUGGAAAGGUGGGUGGAACUACACGAGUAGAGGUGAAAUUCGUAGAUAUGUGUAGGAAUGCCGAUGAUGAACAUAACUCACUGGACAGCAACUGACGCUGAAGUGCGAAAGCUAGGGGAGCAAACAGG